rnacentral:rRNA from 1 species
AGUGAACGCUGGCGGUAGGCCUAACACAUGCAAGUCGAACGGCAGCACAGUAAGAGCUUGCUCUUACGGGUGGCGAGUGGCGGACGGGUGAGGAAUACAUCGGACUCUACUCUUUCGUGGGGGUUAACGUAGGGAAACUUACGCUAAUACCGCAUCCGACCUACGGGUGAAAGCAGGGGAUCUUCGGACCUUGCGCGAAUGAAUGAGCCGAUGUCGGAUUAGUUAGUUGGCGGGGUAAAGGCCCACCAAGGCGACGAUCCGUAGCUGGUCUGAGAGGAUGGUCGGCGACACUGGAACGGAGACACGGUCCAGACUCCUACGGGAGGCAGCAGUGGGGAAUAUUGGGCAAUGGGCGCAAACCUGGUCCAGCCAUACCGCGUGGGUGGAGGAGGCCUUCGGGUUGUAAAGCCCUUUUGUGGGGAAAGAAAAGCAGCAGGUUAAUACCCCGCUGUUCUGACGGUACCCAAAGAAUAAGCACCGGCUAACUUCGUG